GAUGAACGCUGGCGGCGUGCCUAAUACAUGCAAGUCGAACGAAAAGACGCGGCUCUUGCUCCUCUGACGUUAGCCGCAGGCGUGAGUGAAACACGUGGAUCACCUCCCUAUCUGUCUGAGAUAACUUCGGGACACCGGCGCUAAUACCGUAUAAUCUCUUGAUGCGCGUGGUUCAUUGGUAAAAGACGGUUUUGCUGUAACUUAUAGAUGGAUCUGGGCUGCAUUGGCUGGUUGGUAAGGUCACGGCUUACCAAGGCAACGAUGCGUAGCCGACCUGAGAGGGUGAUCGGCCACCCGGGAACUGAGACGCGGACAAGGCUCCUACGGGAGGCAGCAGUAGGGAAUGUGCCGCAGUAGGCGAAAGCCUGACGGAACAGCGCGGCGUGAGUUAUGAAGGUCUUGGGAGCGGAAAGCCCGGUUAUGGGGGGUAAACAAAUGUGGAAGUAACUAUAGACUUCGUGACGGUAACUGGUCAGAAAGCAACGGCUAACUACGUG
rnacentral:rRNA from 1 species